GUCUUUUUGGUAUUUAAUAUAAAGUCUGACCUGCCCACUGAAUAUAGUUUGAAGGGCCGCAGUAUUUUGACUGUGCAAAGGUAGCAUAAUCAUUAGUCUUUUAAUUGAAGGCUGGUAUGAAUGGUUGGAUGAGAUACAAGCUGUGUCAUAAAAAUUAAUAUUUGAAUUUAACUUUUUAGUCAAAAGGCUAAAAUUUUUUUAAAAGACGAGAAGACCCCGUAGAGCUUUAUAUAGUAACUAUUUAAGUUAUUCAGAUUUAUUAAAUUUAAUUAUUGAGCUAUAUUUUGUUGGGGUGACAAUAAAAUUUAUAAAACUUUUAUUUUUAUUUAACAUUAAUUUAUGAUUAAAUGAUCCAGUUUUAUUGAUUAUAAAUUUAAGUUACCUUGGGGAUAACAGCGUAAUUUUUUUUGAGAGUUCUUAUCGACAAAAAAGAUUGCGACCUCGAUGUUGGAUUAAGAGUAAUUUUGGGUGUAGAAGUUCAAAGUUUAAGUCUGUUCGACUUUUAAAUUCUUACAU
rnacentral:rRNA from 1 species